AAACAUUUUUUUUUGUUAGUUUUUGAAGUAUGGCCUGCCCGCUGACAUUGAGUGUUGAAGGGCCGCGGUAUUUUGACCGUGCAAAGGUAGCAUAAUCAUUAGUUCUUUAAUUGUGAUCUGGAAUGAAUGGCUUGACGAGGCACGAGCUGUCUUAAUGUUGAAUGUUUUAUUGAAUUUGGUCUUUGAGUUAAAAUUCUUAGAUGUUUUUAUGGGACGAGAAGACCCUAUAGAGUUUGACAUUUGGUUUAUUUAUUUGUUGGUUGUUUGUUUAUUUUGUUGGUGAGUAGGCUUUUUGUUUUGUUGGGGUGAUGGGAGGAAUGUAGUUAACUCUUCUUGUGUUUGGUUAUAUUUAUUUAUAGUUAUUUGACCCAUUUAUUUUGAUUAUAAAACUAAAUUCCCUUAGGAAUAACACCGAAAA
rnacentral:rRNA from 1 species